rnacentral:rRNA from 1 species
ACAGAGGUCUCAAGCGUUGUUCGGAAUCACUGGGCGUAAAGGGUGCGUAGGUGGCGUGGAAAGUCAGAUGUGAAAUCCGGGGGCUCAACCUCCGAAUAGCAUCCGAUACUCCCAUGCUAGAGAACUGGAGGGGGAUCUGGAAUUCUCGGUGUAGCAGUGAAAUGCGUAGAUAUCGAGAGGAACACUAGUGGCGAAGGCGAGAUCCUGGACAGUUUCUGACACUGAUGCACGAAGGCCAGGGGAGCGAACGGGA